GUGAAACGCCACCGCUGUGGCGCCAUGUUUAUGCGUAAAAGAGACGCCGGUUGGUGACUGCUAUACAGCCAGGACAGUAUUUUAGGAAACCCUGGGCGCCUCCCCUGAUCGCAUCACUUCUCAUGAAUUUCAACUAGUAAAAGUGGAAAAAUGCACAGAGCAAAAGCACAUUAAGAAGCAGUAUACUUAGCAAGAGCAGAUGGGUUUGAGCUGGACAAAAAAAAAGUUUACAAUUUGGCUAAAUUGGUCUGAAAAAUGUUUAGCCAAAUUAGGAUUCAUUUAGUUAGGUCAGGAAGCCUGGAACGAAUAUGGAAAUGCCUGUCUGGAAUGAAAUUCAAUCGCGCUGGAAUUAGCGUUUUAAUAAAAAUGCAAUAAACUGGGCUGUGCUUCGAAAUGAAUCAAUCAAUUCAACUCAGCUGCUACUGUA